rnacentral:rRNA from 1 species
UACGUAGGGUGCAAGCGUUAAUCGGAAUUACUGGGCGUAAAGCGUGCGCAGGCGGUUGUGUAAGUCAGAUGUGAAAUCCCCGGGCUCAACCUGGGAAUUGCAUUUGUGACUGCACGGCUAGAGUGUGUCAGAGGGGGGUAGAAUUCCACGUGUAGCAGUGAAAUGCGUAGAUAUGCGGAGGAACACCGAUGGCGAAGGCAAUCCCCUGGGCCUGCACUGACGCUCAUGCACGAAAGCGUGGGGAGCAAACAGG